UACGUAGGGGGCAGGCGUUAUCCGGAUUUACUGGGUGUAAAGGGAGCGUAGACGGCUGCGCAAGUCUGAAGUGAAAGCCCGGGGCUCAACCCCGGGACUGCUUUGGAAACUGUGUAGCUAGAGUGCUGGAGAGGCAAGCGGAAUUCCUAGUGUAGCGGUGAAAUGCGUAGAUAUUAGGAAGAACACCAGUGGCGAAGGCGGCUUGCUGGACAGUAACUGACGUUGAGGCUCGAAAGCGUGGGGAGCAAACA
rnacentral:rRNA from 1 species